rnacentral:rRNA from 1 species
CGCCAGACUCCUACGGGAGGCAGCAGUGAGGAAUAUUGGUCAAUGGUCGGGAGACUGAACCAGCCAAGCCGCGUGAGGGAGGAAGGUACAGAGUAUCGUAAACCUCUUUUGUCAGGGAACAAAGGCGGGGACGUGUCCCCGGAUGAGUGUACCUGAAGAAAAAGCAUCGGCUAACUCCGUGCCAGCAGCCGCGGUAAUACGGAGGAUGCGAGCGUUAUCCGGAUUUAUUGGGUUUAAAGGGAGCGUAGGCCGGCUUUUAAGUCAGCUGUGAAAGUCCGCGGCUCAACCGUGGAAUUGCAGUUGAAACUGGAGGCCUUGAGUGCACACAGGGAUGCCGGAAUUCAUGGUGUAGCGGUGAAAUGCUUAGAUAUCAUGAAGAACCCCGAUUGCGAAGGCAGCUUACUAAACUGUGACUGACAUUGAUGCUCGAAAGUGUGGGUAUCAAACAGGAUUAGAUACCCGUGUA